rnacentral:tRNA from 1 species
AAUAAAAUGCCUGAAAAAAGGAUUACUUUGAUAGAGUAAAUCAUGUAAACUAGCUACUUUUAUUA